rnacentral:rRNA from 1 species
AUACGGAGGGUGCAAGCGUUACUCGGAAUCACUGGGCGUAAAGCGCGCGCAGGCGGCUUGAUAAGUUGGAUGUGAAAGCCUACGGCUCAACCGUAGAACUGCAUCCAAAACUGUCAGGCUAGAGUGUGGGAGAGGAAGAUGGAAUUAGUUGUGUAGGGGUAAAAUCCGUAGAGAUAACUAGGAAUACCAAAAGCGAAGGCGAUCUUCUGGAACAGUACUGACGCUGAGGCGCGAAAGCGUGGGGAGCAAACAGAAUUAGAAACCCCAGUAGUCC